rnacentral:tRNA from 1 species
GGCCCUGUAGUGUAGAGGCCUAACACACUGCCCUGUCAAGGCAGAGAUCGCGGGUUCGAAUCCCGUCGGGGCCG